GUUCAGGAUGCUUUCCACAUCUGAGCGUUUCACCAGAAACUCAUCACAGUUCCGGACAGCAGACUCCAGGAGGACCCGGAUGGAGAACGGCAGACGGUCUGAGGAACAGAUGGACGGCUUGCCUCAACCAUCCCCUAGUUAGGCCCAGAGCGCCGGGAGAUUUCCCAUGCUGCACUGAGCCCCUGUCACCCUCUCUGUCUGUAUUUCUGCCUCAGGGGCUGUAGUGUCUGAUCUGUGAUGACAUGCCCCUGCCGCCCCAUGAUCCUGCUCAAUGCCUGCUGGUGGCCGUCCACCCUGACUCUGGUUUCUGCCUCUUCAAAGGGAAAAUCUGUCCUCACCACUGUCGCCCAGUGCUGCUCAUGGUGGGAACUGUUGCGCCUCUCUCUGCUCUAUAUGAAAGUGCUUGAGAUAACUUCUGUUGUGAUUCUGUGCUGUAUAAGUAAACCUAAUUUGACUUGACACCCUGUACACUCACUGAGCAUCUCAUUAGGAACACCGUACCAAUACUGGGUAGGGCCUCCAAUCUCCUGUUCUCCCACAUCCCAAAGGUGUUCUACUGGAUUCAGAUCGGGGGAGGCCACUGAAGUUCACUGAACUCACUGUCAUGUUCAUGAAACCUGUUUGAGACGACUUUUGCUAUGUGCAGUGGUGCACUAUCAUGCUGGAAGGAGCCAUUGGAAGAUUGUUAACUUGUGGCCAUAAAAGCAUGCAUGUGGUCAGCAACACUACUCAGCUCUGUGGUGAUAGGCUGUGGAAUUCAAACUAUGACUGAUGUGAAAGGGCCUAAAAUAUUCCCCACACCAUUACACCACCAUCACCAGCCUGGUCUGUUGACACAAGACAGGGUGGGUCCAUAAGUUUCAUGCUGUUGAUGCUAAAUUCUGACUCAACCGUCUGUGUGCCUCACCACAAACCCAGAUUCAUCAGACUGAGAUCAGAAGUUUCAGAAAUGUUUAAAUCAGCCUGUCAUGCCAUGGUCAAAGUUACCGCAUGAUUGUAUGCACUGCACUGCUGCCACAUGACUGGCUGCCUGGAUAACUGUAUGACUAUGCAGGUGUGCAGAUGUUCCCUUAUAAAAAGCUCAGUGAGUGUAUACAGGGUUAACUACAAGGUCCACUCUACAAUCCUUCAGAUUCAGUGUAGAAAUGGAUUAGCCUGUAACGGUGGAGUCCGUUCAGGAUGGCGGGGCUGAGGGUCAGUGAACUUUUGGCCCACGUUUUUACAAACCUUGCAUAACUAAAUCUCUUAGGCAAUCUGAUGAAACUUUAAACAGGAGAAAUGUGCGGCUGCAUGUUCGACAAGCUGACCCCUUGUUAAAAAUCAACACAGACUAAAUAAAAAAUCUGAAGAGCCUGCUCUACGAGAGGAGAGUUUCUUUGAGAGAGUUGUUAUCUGUGUGAGAGGUGAACUGAUAAGGAGCACUUAACUGGAACUACACAUCCUGAAUGUCCACAUAUUCCUCUGGCUAUCUGAAAUACAGGCUAUGUUGCUUUGCUGCAAAGUACAAAGUCAAAUUAUGAUAGUGCCAUUACCGCAUGAUGUAACAUGGCUGGAGCAACCAUCAUCAGUGCCUUACUCACUGUCCCUAACCACACAUAACUACAUUUUGCUAAUUGCAGCACUAUCAAGGGUUUGUACUAUGCAAAAAAAUACUAUCACAGUAACAUUGAAAACCAGGCCAUAAGUUGCCAUUAAAACUGUGCCGUCUUAGACCUCUGUUAACAUGUGUAUUCUAUUCAUAACUGUUGCUACUUGUGGUGUUUUACCUAAAUUCUGUUGAGAAACUAAAGAAGUUUAUCCUCUCCUCCCCCAGUUUCACCUCACAGAGCAAUCGGACGUAAGUUAGCGUUAGCUACUUGGUCAAACUCAAACGUUUAAAAGCGCACGAGUUGUCUUUGAAAACACAGGAGAGGAAGGAAGGAACAUUCUCAAAAAUAUUACUAGUAGUGAUUUUCCCAUGCAAUACCAGCAUGAUUGUAUUAAGUUAUGAAGGUUUUGAAUGCAACAGCCUAAGUUAGCUAGCUUACGGCUCAACUAUUCUGCAUGA